rnacentral:lncRNA from 10 species
AAUUGCUCCACCUCUGGUGCCAGUUAGUGGAAGGGUAGAAAGAUGGGAAAAAACAGGUCUGGGUUUGGAUGCACUCUUUUGCAGCAUGAGCUCUACCGAAUGGAGAGGAAGUCUCCCUUCCCUUAGAGUUUUGGCUCCUGCAGUCUCCUGUUGGUAGCCACUGUAACAGCUGCCACCAUUACUGUGGGAUAUUUUGGAGUCUGAGGCAUAAGAGAAUGGACAAAAAGGAGAGGAAAAGACCCAGAGGAUUCCUGCAUUCUCUCUAAGCUUUGGGAGUUCCUCUUCCUGCAGUUUCAGCCACAACUAGAAGAAAUCUCCUUUACAGACAAUAGGUGAAGAACAAACCCAGAAUCCCUACACUGAACUGCUAGUACUGAAGGCUCAUCAUGAUAUUGUACGAUUUCUGGUACAGUUAGAUGACUACAGAUUUGCAUCUGCUGGUGAUGAUGGAAUUGUAGUUGUGUGGAAUGCCCAGACAGGGGAAAAACUUUUAGAACUGAAUGGACACACUCAAAAGAUAACAGCUAUUAUUACAUUUCCUUCCUUGGAAUCUUGUGAAGAGAAAAAUCAACUCAUCUUGACAGCCUCUGCUGAUA